AGGGGUAUAGCUCGAUGGUGGAGUAUAUGCUUAGCAUGCAUGAGGUCCUGGGUUCAAUCACUAGUACCUCCA
rnacentral:tRNA from 1 species